rnacentral:rRNA from 1 species
CUUGGUCAUUUAGAGGAAGUAAAAGUCGUAACAAGGUUUCCGUAGGUGAACCUGCGGAAGGAUCAUUCAUAAUAAGUGUUUUAUGGCACUUUUUAAAUCCAUAUCCACCUUGUGUGCAAUGUCAGUCGAUCUUCUUCAUGGAGAUCGACCAAACAUCAACCUUUAUCUUUUAACUCUUUGUCUGAAAAAUAUUAUGAAUAAACAAUUCAAAAUACAACUUUCAACAACGGAUCUCUUGGCUCUCGCAUCGAUGAAGAACGCAGCGAAAUGCGAUACGUAAUGUGAAUUGCAGAAUUCAGUGAAUCAUCGAAUCUUUGAACGCAUAUUGCGCUCUUUGGUAUUCCGAAGAGCAUGCUUGUUUGAGUAUCAGUAAACACCUCAAAGCUUUUGGAUUUUUUAAUCGAAAAGCUUUGGACUUGAGCAAUCCCAACACCAAUCUUUUUGAGAUCGGUGGCGGGUUGCUUGAAAUGCAGGUGCAGCUGGACAUUCUCCUGAGCUAAAAGCAUAUUCAUUUAGUCCCGUCAAACGGAUUAUUACUUUUGCUGCAGCUAACAUAAAGGGAGUUUGACCGUAUUGGCUGACUGAUGCAGGAUUUCACAAGGGUCGGCAACGAUUCUUGUUAAACUCGAUCUCAAAUCAAGUAGGACUACCCGCUGAACUUAAGCAUAUCAAUAAGCGGAGGA